rnacentral:rRNA from 1 species
UACGUAGGGUGCAGGCGUUAAUCGGAAUUACUGGGCGUAAAGCGUGCACAGGCGGCUCUGCAAGACAGAUGUGAAAUCCCCGGGCUCAACCUGGGAAUUGCAUUUGUGACUGCAAGGCUAGAGUACGGUAGAGGGGGAUGGAAUUCCGCGUGUAGCAGUGAAAUGCGUAGAUAUGCGGAGGAACACCGAUGGCGAAGGCAAUCCCCUGGACCCGUACUGACGCUCAUGCACGAAAGCGUGGGGAGCAAACAGG